UAGAGAGGUAGUCUGAAUAAAGGCAGGUUGUGGGUAGCUAGAGAGGCAGUCUGAAUAAAGGCAGGUUGUGGAGAGGUAGUCUGAAUAAAGGCAGGUUGUGGGUAGCUAGAGAGGUAGUCUGAAUAAAGGCAGGUUGUGGAGAGGUAGUCUGAAUAAAGGCAGGUUAUGGGUAGCUAGAGAGGUAGUCUGAAUAAAGGCAGGUUGUGGGUAGCUAGAGAGGUAGUCUGAAUAAA